CCUACGGGUGGCAGCAGUCGAGAAUCAUUCACAAUGGGGGAAACCCUGAUGGUGCGACGCCGCGUGGGGGAAUGAAGGUCUUCGGAUUGUAAACCCCUGUCAUGUGGGAGCAAAUUAAAAAGAUAGUACCACAAGAGGAAGAGACGGCUAACUCUGUGCGAGCAGCCGCGGUAAUACAGAGGUCUCAAGCGUUGUUCGGAAGCACUGGGCGUAAAGCGUGCGUAGGCUGUGUCGUAAGUCGUGUGUGAAAGGUGGGGGCUCAACCCGCGGAGGGCAGAUGAUACUGGGAGACUAGAGUGAGGGAGGGGGAAGCGGAAGUCGCGGUGUAGCAGUGAAAUGCGUAGAUAUCGAGAGGAACACUCAUGGCGAAGGCGGGUUCCUGGACAUUAACUGACGCUGAGGCACGAAGGCGAGGGGAGCGAAAGGGAUUAGAUACCCCAGUAGUC
rnacentral:rRNA from 1 species